rnacentral:rRNA from 1 species
AUUGAACGUUGGCGGCAUGCUUUACACAUGCAAGUCGAACGGCAGCGCGGGCUUCGGCCUGGCGGCGAGUGGCGAACGGGUGAGUAAUGCAUCGGAACGUGCCCAGUAGUGGGGGAUAGCCCGGCGAAAGCCGGAUUAAUACCGCAUACGACCUGAGGGUGAAAGCGGGGGACCGAAAGGCCUCGCGCUAUUGGAGCGGCCGAUGUCGGAUUAGCUAGUUGGUGGGGUAAAGGCUUACCAAGGCGACGAUCCGUAGCUGGUCUGAGAGGACGACCAGCCACACUGGGACUGAGACACGGCCCAGACUCCUACGGGAGGCAGCAGUGGGGAAUUUUGGACAAUGGGGGCAACCCUGAUCCAGCCAUGCCGCGUGCGGGAAGAAGGCCUUCGGGUUGUAAACCGCUUUUGUUCGCGAAGAAAUCCUCUGGGCUAAUACCCCGGGGGGAUGACGGUACCGGAAGAAUAAGCACCGGCUAACUACGUG